rnacentral:lncRNA from 1 species
UCAAAAUCUGCAAACAACACCACACAAAAAGAGAAAAGAGGGUUCGAGACCCACGGUGAACCCACCGCACAAGAUUCUGACCCUGUGGCGAUCGCGGAUGAUGGCGUCGUGGUCAUUCACACGAUAGAGGAUAAGGAUCACAGUGGUGAGGGCGAUUUAGCGAACAGGUUCAGGGAAGGGUUUCAUGUGACGGGGUGUUUUUGGCUUGCGGUGGUUACGAUUGGAUAUAAGUGAA